GUGGCGAAUGCCGGUGGGACUACAUUGCCGCCCGAGACGUCGGUUCGAAUCCGACCGGGUCUGCCCGGCUUCAGGCCGACUGAUCCGUCGUCCAGCGGUAGGACACGGGCAAUGUCUCGCCAAUUUUCGUCGCCGCGAC
rnacentral:Y_RNA from 1 species